rnacentral:rRNA from 1 species
CGACGCAGCAACGCCGCGUGUGUGAUGAAGGCCUCGGGUUGUAAAGCACUGUCAGGAGGGAAGAAACGCCUUGGGAUAUACCCCGGGGCUAUGACGGUACCUCCGAAGGAAGCACCGGCUAACUCCGUGCCAGCAGCCGCGGCAAUACGGAGGGUGCGAGCGUUGUUCGGAAUCAUUGGGCGUAAAGCGCGUGUAGGUGGGCGGGUAAGUCAGGUGUGAAAGCCCAGAGCUCAACUCUGGAAUUGCGCUUGAAACUACUCGUCUUGAGUACGGGAGAGGGAAGCGGAAUUCUUGGUGUAGGGGUGAAAUCCGUAGAUAUCAGGAGGAACACCGACGGCGAAGGCAGCUUCCUGGACCGAUACUGACACUGAGACGCGAAAGCGUGGGGAGCAAACAGGAUUAGAUACCCUGAUAGUCCACGCCGUAAACGAUGUUCACUAGAUGCCGUGGGUAUUGACCCCUGCGGUGUCGUAGCCAACGCGUUAAGUGAACCGCCUGGGGAGUACGGCCGCAAGGUUA